CACAUCACCAACGCCUGCACUCUCUCCCCUUGCGUCGCUGCAUCCCCCAACACCGUCUGCACUCGCGCCCCCAGUGUCCUCAGCUUAUCGUAUCUCGCAAGCACCCUCUCCGGUGAUCGGCUGCUUGGUACCGUAUCGAAUUCCUCAUCCAACUCCUCCCGAUCAACCGCCUCUACCAUUGAUAUCUUGGGGCAGAAGUGGGGGAGUGGCUCUCGCGAUUUGAAUCUGUAGUUCCACGCGCCGAUGGCGAAGACGUAGAAGGAUAGCGUGGGGAAGAUGAGAUCCGGGAACCACACCAGCAGCACCAGCAAGGCGUGCACCAGGAUUGUGGCCGUCGGAUUCUUCCACGACCUAGUGUCGUCGACCCAUCGGACUAUGUCGAUCACUCCGGCCACCACAUUGAUGAUCCUGAUCCAGUUUGCCCGCACCUUUCGCAUGCUGAAGGCCUGAGUGUCGGCGUCCAACAUGUAGAGCACGAUCUCCCGCCUCAGCGGUGGCUCCGACCUCGACAAGUGUUCGGCCACGAUUUUGGCAGCAGUGUUCCGCAGAAUUUCCUGUUGGACCACUCCUAGAGGUUUGAUGUGGUGCAUUAAGGGCAAGAGAGGUUGGCUGUAGACGUGGAGGAUGUCGAGCGUGUGAACGGCACGUACGAAUCUCACGGCCAGCUCUAUCUCCCCCAUUUGCUUCUUUCCUGCGGGAGACAAGAGCAGCAACGGAUACCGGUUCUUGUACACUCGACCCGUCUGAAGAGUAGAGAUACGUAUCCGUACUUUCCCCAUUCGGAAAUCUGGAUGCGUGGCUUCCUUGGAGCCUUCUAUCUGGAAUGCAGCGGAGCUGUCGAACACCCCAACGCUGAGGACAGUGCAGGGGUCGUACACCUUCCACGUGUACUGCUCGUUCCACUUAGGAUCCAGGCUUUCAGAUACUGUACGUGUACGGACCCACUUCGGACCGUAUUUGGCUACUGCGUACGCGUCCGUUGAUCCUCUGCCGUCGAUUGUUUUCAUUGGGAGAAGGUUUUUACAUGCGAUGAUUCCCAGCUCCACCGUGCCGAUAGGUGGUUUCCAGAGCUGUCUCGCCGUCGGCCGGAAGUCGCUGCAGACAUGCGCGGCCUCGUCCAUCACGUGAUAUCCACCGUCGAAGCAUAAACGUAGGUGGACUCUACCCUUGUAACUGCUCCUUUCCUCCUCCUUGUUAGGGUUUUGAAAGCUGAACCAGUGCGACACAGGUGUUCGAUCGUCCACACGCCGCUCGAUCGCCGUCAACGGCACUCUCGCGACGCCCAGGGUGGCUACCUUUCCUUUCGUUUGCUGGCUUUCGAGGGUGAAGAUGAGGUGCUCGUGAGUGAAGGGUUCGGCGGCGACGAACAUGAGGUCCUGGUUCCAUAACGGAGUUCCGUUUCGAGUGACGGAGACUUUUGUUUUUUGUAUUUGAAACCCCAACUUCACUGUUAGUUGAAGUGACAAAUCUUUUAACGACGUUAACGGCAAAACGUCUUGAGCUUCCAUAACUGUGAUUCUAAGGUACCACAAUUUGGGAGAUUGGUAUACUUUAGAUUUCGAGUGAACGCUACCCGCUGCGUCAGUAAUCCAUGCUUCAGGAAACGAUUCAUCAGCUUGAGUGCCGAUCCACGUGGCGAGCAUCAGAACGCCGUUGUCGGCUGCACCACCUUCGAUUCUGUACCACUGUGGGGCUAGUGGGCUGUCAGGUGGAUCCCGCAGUGGAAUCUCCGCCACGUCAAAGCAGAUGCCGCCUAAGAAACCAUCUCCUGCCACGUCGGAUGGAUUUGAGGGUCGAGGGUCCCACACUGAGACUUCAAGAAGGGAAGUAGAUUCUGGUGUCUCACGGCCGAAAGCGAAUGUCUGGUCCCACUCAAAGAAGCUUGUACUUUUCAGGGCUGGUUUGGAGCUGACGUGGCUUCCGGAAACUGCUAUCGUCACCACCGGAUUUCCUUUAGUGGGUAGAGAUCGAGCUUUCACGACUCUGACGAAUAUGUAGUGCAUUUUCUCAACGAGAUCGAACGAGGUCCGUUCGAUUGAAACUGUCCCCCGCAGAUCGGCCUUGAAGUUGCCGGAAGACAGUGGCCGGUGAACUGGCUCGAAUGGGGCGAAUUUCACUUGCGGAGCCGAUCUGUUUUCUAUAGAUGCCAUGACCUGCGGCGACGGUACCCAUUUGGGAACUGGAGCUUCGGUUUCUGCAUUUGAUUGCUCUACGUCUGGUGGGCAUGCCUCCAUCUUAUCCUGUGUUCCUUCCUGUGGUGGCGGCGGUGGCUCAGAUUCCGGCUGUUUUUCUGCUUCAGGGGUGGGAUUUUCUGAAGGUGGUGCAGGUUCUUCGGCUGGAGGUGCAGCUUCCACAGGUGGUGGAGCCGGCGGUUGUUCUUCACUAGAUUUUGGCGGAUCAGAUGCUGCAGGUUCAGGUUCAGCUGGCGGCACUGCUUCAGUCUUGGGAGGAGGAGCUGCGGGAGCGUCAGUGGUUCCGGAAUCAGCAGCAGGCGGCGGCACUGCCUCAGGUGGCUUAACUUCCUCCAGUACCGGUGGCUGCGAAGGCACUUCCUCAUCCACAUAAUAAAUUUUGAAACCGAUAUCGCCCUGAGUCCAACUAAAGAAGCUCUUCUUCUCCAAAGGGAAGUAGAUCAAAGCC
rnacentral:lncRNA from 1 species